AUACGGAGGGUGCAAGCGUUGUCCGGAUUUAUUGGGUUUAAAGGGUGCGUAGGUGGUUUUUUAAGUCAGUGGUGAAAGCCUACAGCUUAACUGUAGAGGUGCCAUUGAUACUGGGGAACUUGAGUAUGGACGAGGUAGGCGGAAUUUGUGGUGUAGCGGUGAAAUGCAUAGAUACCACAAGGAACACCGAUAGCGAAGGCAGCUUACUGGGCCAUAACUGACACUGAGGCACGAAAGCGUGGGGAGCGAACAGGAUUAGAUACCCCAGUAGUCC
rnacentral:rRNA from 1 species